rnacentral:misc_RNA from 1 species
UUUCCGUAGGUGAACCUGCGGAAGGAUCAUUAUCAUGUAAUUCAGUCCCCUUGGCUGUGUCAUAUAUAUACCCACUCUGUGUACCUUCUCCUGUUGCUUCCGCUGGGUGUGUAAUUCGCCCGGCGGAAGGGUAAAAAUAACCUCUGAGUAUUGAUGAAAUCUCUGUCUGAACCGAAUAGAAAGAAAAAUGUUAAAACUUUCAGCAACGGAUCUCUUGGUUCUC